UCGCGUCCCUCGUUUUGCAAACUGCCUCGAGUGCGGCAGCGCGUCCGACAGCGUGUGAAAAAUUUGCAACCACGACUUCUUUGUAUUCUUUAUCGCGCUAUGUAAUUAUCCAGUUUAUUUCAGUUUCAGCAAUUAACGUUGCUACGAACAAAGAGGUGUUUACCCGUGCUAAUCCUCAAAACAACAAUUAAUAGAUUUUUUUUUUUUCAUGUUGUUUCAUUUAUCUUACAAUCGAAAAUUAUUCAAAGCGCUUUCAAUGUCGCUGUUGUGAAUUAAAUUAAUUAAAUUAUACGAAAGGAAUGUCAAAAUUAACGUACGCGACAAAAGAUGCUUCCGAAAUCAUAAAGUGAAGUUAAUUUGGAAGAUUACCGUUUGAAUAGCUUCCGUGAACUUUUUAAACAUUAUGAUCAUGUUCAAUCUCGCAUUAGUGAAUCGUACGUUAUAUUUAUGUGCCAUUUCAAUUUUGAUACAACAUCCUGUCGGAGGACGCGCCUUAUUCCGUCACGGAAGAUCAAGCGCGGUUCAUCUCUACGAAGAUCAUUAAACCCAUUUAUGACUAUGAAUAUCACGAGACAAUACAACGACGUGACGUGAGAUGUUAAAAAUACUCCUAACGGAAGAAUUAAAGGGGUCGAUUUCUAAAGUUGCUUCACUAACACAAUCGUGACGGCAGGAAACGGAUCGAUAACAUCGAUCUUUACAAAUUCAUCGGCUGCGCUGCUGCCGGCGAAAUCGCCACGUCCCUUUUGGCGAGCAUCAGGCCGGAUGACGACCAUGAUGACGACCAUCAAUGGAAUCGAGAUUUUGACGUGAACAAAGCAACGUAGUUCAGCUUCCAAUGGGAUGCUAAAACUUCAAAGAGCGAUUGAACUUUCUACAAUCUAGAAUCGAUUCGUAACCGAAAGGUAUAGGAAGCGGACAAACGAGGCAAGUGACGCAAACGAGGAGGAAGAGAUAAAGCGGACAAAUAAUUCUUUGUUUUUUUAUUUGCCUACAAACAAAUAUUUUUAACGAGGCAAACAUUGAAAAAGCGAUGUCAACAAAUUAAUAACAGAUUGAUAUGGUCGUCACUGAAUGUCCCAAUUUUAUCUGUAGAAUUCUUCACGUGUGCCUCAUGCAGGCGAUUUCACAUUGGUGAAGAUCAUGUAACUGGCAACAGAUUAUCAUGAUUGAUUCAAACGAAAGGUUUCGGGACAUGUAUGAUCUGCUUGGAAAACAGCGUGCGACAUCUGAAGUUUAAUGUAGAAAGUGAUUAUUCUGGCCGGUUAGUCAGGUUCAACGAACUUAACUCACAGUAGGUACAUGAUGAUUUCAAAUAUUAUUUAGGCCUGAUAGAUCAUUGAAUUUUUCUAAGCGUUUCUAAGCACGCAUCUGCCACGAGAAUUUAUAGUUGAUGUAACAUUAUUUGUAUCGUUAUAGCAUCUCUUGCGGGUAAAGCAGAGCUUUACAGUGCUGAUAUGCUAGAUUAACUAUUCAUAAACUUGUUUCUUCAUUUCUUCAUAGGAUUUAUGCGAUCUGAUGUAUGCGAUGUAAUAUAAUUCAUUUUACAUAACGUUAGAUAAAAAUAAAACUUAUAUACAACUAAUUAACAUUGCUCAUACAUUAUGUAUUAUUAAUUAACAUUGCUACAGAGAAGUAGCAUACAAAAUCAAAUAAAAAUAAUAAAAACUAAUGUCAUCAUGUUUCUCAUUUACAUCUUUUUGCUUCCUUAUCUUUUAUGCAUUCAAUUCAAUUUAGAGUUAUCUCUUUAGAGUUAUUAAUUCUAAGAUUAAUGUAUAAUAAAUUGGUCGUGGUCGAUUGUUUUGUUUGACAUUUCCUUUACCUUUUUACGCAAUUGAUUUCUUCUAAAUAAUUUUUUGUUCUUAAAAAGGUAUUAUUUAUCGCCUGUUUUCUUCCCAUUUAAAUUUAAAGUAUUAAACACGCGAAGCUACUACUGUUUUGUUCAUUUUUAUCAAAACUUCGUUAAGAAAUCAUCACGCACACUCUGGUGGCAUCAGCAUGUUCAAUAAAUAUAUGUAUCAUCCAAACCGGUACGACCAUGUCCGAUAUGGAAGAUUAUACCAUCGCGCUAAUGAUCGUGCUACCGUUUCGUCCACGAUCAACGAUCGACGGUCUGCGGGCGGUGCCCCGCUAUUGCCCACAAAAUAUAUCUUCCCCUGCGGGCGGUGUGAGGUAGCACAGGUGACCGGAGGUUGUGACGAGGGGGAAAGCCCCCUCGUGCACGCCUCGGGGAGCACGACGGGCUGAAUUUAACUUGGAACAACCGUACGUUUUGUGGUGUUCUGUGCACGGUCAGUGCUCACGCCACAGAACGAAUGCCAGGCAACGAUCUGCGCUCUCUCGACGGGAACCACGCUGGCUUCGUUCGUACCUUCAGUUUACUAUCGUAAGCUCACUCGGACAGGUGAGCGCCGCGCUCACGGCCGAUCGGACGAUGACACGGUUCUAUGUAGAUUCGUUUGUCUUAAUCUCGCAAACGUGUAAAAAAGAUUCGAUUUGAUCCGCACGUUGGACCCAGAGAUAAUGAGGAAUGCGCGCAAAAGUGUUAUUACAAUAAAAAAAA